GAUCUCAUAUCUCUAACAUUCAUAUAAGCACAGUCUUAUUUUGGCUAAAAUAUACUAAGGAAACUUCAUAUUGUUAAUAAGUCCUUUUGCAUAAAUUAUGAUAUAAUGUCAUAAUUCAUUAUGUCUGUUACCCAUGGAAUUCAGACUUACUAAAUUGUGAUCUAUAAGGAAUGUAAUAAAAGAAAAAGUAAGAAUCUACAAAAGGUUUAUCCUUGUUUUGAUUCUAAAUAUGUGCUAUAUAUGGCAUACAUAAUCAUUUCAUUUUCACUUUUGUUUCUUAGUAAUGAGCUUUUCAAAAAAUGUAGGACUACAUGUUGUAUAUGCUAAUAUCUUUUUGUAUGCUGUACUGACAGUCCUCAACAUGGAAGUUAUGUUUUAUUCCUAACCAUCUAUAAUCCAUUCUCUAUGAAGUUCAGCCUGUCUGCCCAAAUUCCUUUGGAAAUACAUAGUUAGUCAACCAACAUAGAAACAAUCAAACUUGAAGGGAAAGAAUACUACAACGUGGCUCCUC